AUUGAACGCUGGCGGCAGGCUUAACACAUGCAAGUCGAGCGGGGGAAGGUAGCUUGCUACCUAACCUAGCGGCGGACGGGUGAGUAAUGCUUAGGAAUCUGCCUAUUAGUGGGGGACAACAUUUCGAAAGGGAUGCUAAUACCGCAUACGCCCUAAGGGGGAAAGCAGGGGAUCUUCGGACCUUGCGCUAAUAGAUGAGCCUAAGUCGGAUUAGCUAGUUGGUGGGGUAAAGGCCUACCAAGGCGACGAUCUGUAGCGGGUCUGAGAGGAUGAUCCGCCACACUGGGACUGAGACACGGCCCAGACUCCUACGGGAGGCAGCAGUGGGGAGUAUUGGACAAUGGGGGGAACCCUGAUCCAGCCAUGCCGCGUGUGUGAAGAAGGCCUUUUGGUUGUAAAGCACUUUAAGCGAGGAGGAGGCUACCGAGAUUAAUACUCUUGGAUAGUGGACGUUGCUCGCAGAAUAAGCACCGGCUAACUCUGUGCCAGCCGCCGCCGUAA
rnacentral:rRNA from 1 species